rnacentral:rRNA from 1 species
CUUUUAGGGGUAGGGGGUAGAAUCUUUAUUCUUGUGUAACAGGCUCAUAGAUGGUUGUGUAAGGCUUUGUAAAUAAGAGGAUUAGAGACCCUCGUAUUGAGUUGGCUAUUUUGUGACUUCAUAGUUGGAACUAAAAAGGCUUGGCAGCUGAUGAGGUUCGUCCGGGGGAGCGUGUGUUGUAAGAGAUGAUCCACUUAUAGGUUAACCCAAUUUUGAUGGUUAGUGUAUAUCCGGUUGAAUAUUCGUGAUUAGUGUCGUUGAGUGUAAUUUUCUUCAUUCAAGCCA